ACGGAGGGUGCAAGCGUUAAUCGGAAUUACUGGGCGUAAAGCGCACGCAGGCGGUUUGUUAAGUCAGAUGUGAAAUCCCCGGGCUUAACCUGGGAACUGCAUCUGAUACUGGCAAGAUUGAGUCUCGGAGAGGGGGGUAGAAUUCCAGGUGUAGCGGUGAAAUGCGUAGAGAUCUGGAGGAAUACCGGUGGCGAGGGCGGCCACCUGGACAAAAACUGACGGUCAGGUGCGAAAGCGUGGGUAGCAAACAG
rnacentral:rRNA from 1 species